CGACAAACACCAACAUGUUUGCCAGUUGUGAAGCGGUGGAAGUGUGCUUUAUUGUUGCUGUCAUUACCAUCACCCUCAGAUUAGGAAACUGAGGCUCUGAGAAGGUAAAUGACUUGCCCAAGGACACAGAGUAAGGUGCAGAACUGGGAGUCCAACCCAGGAUGUGGUGAACUCCCCCCAAAACCUCCCAGCAUUUGAGUUGUGCAGGGAACAGAGAUGGGUGUGUUCCGUGGGCUCAGUGCACGGGAAUGCGCAGCUCCUGCGCUUUCCUCCAUCCUGGAAAAGGCUUGCUGAGCAUUUCACUGUCAGGACAAUACGACAGAGUCUGAAGAAGAUGGUGUGCUCUUGCUGCCAAGACAAAGGAGAACGCUGUCCCAGGUUCCUGCUCCCCUCCUCUAUCAGUCUCCUCUCACUGCAUCCUGUCUCCCCACCUCCACCCCACUCCCACCCAAAAGAAAGCUAGAUUCUG